rnacentral:lncRNA from 1 species
GAGACAGAGUCUUGCUCUGUUGCCCAGGCUGGAGUGCAGUGGUGCGAUCUCAGCUCACUGCAACCUCCGCCUCCCAGGUUCAAGCAAUUCUCUCUCAGCCUCCCAAGUAACUGGGAUUACAGGCACACGCCACCAUGCCCAGCUAAUUUUUGUAUUUUUAGUAGAGAGGGGGUUUCACCAUGUUGGCCAGGCUGGUCUCGAACUCCUGACCUCAAGCGAUCUGCCUGCCUCGGCCUCCCAAAGUGCUGGGAUUACAGGCAUGGUGGCAAUGUGUUUGUAGUCUUAGCCAUUUGGGAGGCUGAGGCAGGAGGAUCACUUGAGCCCAGGAGUUCAAGGUUACACUGAUCUAUGGUUGCAAUACUGCACUCCAGCAUGUGUGACAGCAAGAACCUGUCUCCUAAAAAAAAAAAUCACUUUAAUAUAGUAUCUGGAACAUAUCAAAUGCUCAAGAGGUUUAGUGCCCUUCAUUACACUGGAGGAAAAAGGUGACAUUUUGUACCUCUGCAUGCUCAGAUACAGUUUGUUUUUGAGUUGGAAAUAUUUCAUACUUCAUCUUUUCUUAUUCUUACAAUUUUCCUUUAUUUAUAAUGUAGCCAUCCCUCUUCUGCCCAUGGAAAUAAUGAAACAUGGGACCCAUCAUGCUAUGUUAUUAGACUCCUGAUGCAAUUUUACUUAAUUACUGCAUGUCUAGAAUGAUAUUCCUUAGUUUUUCUUUUCUUUUCUUUUCUUUUUUUUUUGAGACAGAGUCUUGCUCUGUUGCCCAGGCUGAAGUGCAGUGGUGCGAUCUCAGCUCACUGCAACCUCCACCUCCUGGGUUCAAGCGAUUCUCUGGCAGUCUCCCCAGUAGCUGGGAUUACAGGCACAUGCCACCAUGCCUGGCUAUUUUGUAUUUUUAGUAGAGAGGGGGUUUUUCCAUGUUGGCCAGGCUGGUCUUGAACUCCUGACAUCAAGAGAUCUGCCAGCCUCGGCCUCCCAAAGUGCUGGGAUUACAGGCAUGAGCCACCAUGCCUGGCCUAGUUUUUCUUUUUUAAAGACCAGUUAGUUUUGGUGACACUAUUAACCUUAAGUUAACAUGAUGACGUAGGUGUAUGUGUUUGAUGUGAAUGCCAAUGUGAUUCAACUCAAAUACUUGUUGAGCACCUAACUACCUAACUUAUAGAAAAUUAUGCCAAGUAUUUUCCUGCAUCAGGUUGUACAGGCCUCAUAAUAAAUGUAA